AUUGAACGCUGGCGGCAUGCCUUACACAUGCAAGUCGAACGGUAACAGGUCUUCGGAUGCUGACGAGUGGCGAACGGGUGAGUAAUACAUCGGAACGUGCCUAGUCGUGGGGGAUAACUACUCGAAAGAGUGGCUAAUACCGCAUGAGAUCUACGGAUGAAAGCAGGGGAUCGCAAGACCUUGUGCUACUAGAGCGGUCGAUGGCAGAUUAGGUAGUUGGUGGGAUAAAAGCUUACCAAGCCGACGAUCUGUAGCUGGUCUGAGAGGACGAUCAGCCACACUGGGACUGAGACACGGCCCAGACUCCUACGGGAGGCAGCAGUGGGGAAUUUAGGACAAUGGGCGAAAGCCUGAUCCAGCAAUGCCGCGUGCAGGAUGAAGGCCUUCGGGUUGUAAACUGCUUUUGUACGGAACGAAAAGCCCCGGGUUAAUACCCUGGGGUCAUGACGGUACCGUAAGAAUAAGCACCGGCUAACUACGUGCCAGCCGCCGCAGUAA
rnacentral:rRNA from 1 species